UGAGCAUAUAUAUUUAUAUUGAGCAUGUUGCAUAGUAUGGUUAAUUGUAAAUUUCUAUUGCAUGAUAUGAGUUCUAAUGCUUGAGAAAUAGUAGUAAAUGAAUGAGAAUUGGUAACCCUAUAUAUGCAUGACAAGGGACAAGAACCUAGAAGGGUCAGUAAACAAAUGUGACAUGUUGACAUAGACAUAGAGUGUGGCAUGAGUACAAGAACCUAGCACUUAGAAAACAAGUGUGGCAUCAAUGACAAAGAACAAGAACAAGUAGUGUACAUGACACUAGUAGAGGUUAGAGAAUGCAAGUGAAUUGGGUUAGUGACAUUAUGACAAAUGCACCUUGGAGUUAAGUAUCAUACGAACAUGGUUCUCCUUGGAGUCAAUGAAUGGAUUGAACUUGGAAUCCUUAAAGUUAAGGAUUGAUCGUACUCACCUAUUAGUCCUUGCUCGAGGGCGGUAGCUCCCCCUCGGGCGAUGUGCUCCGGAGUUGCCAUCACUGGGUCGUAGCGGUUAUCUCCCCAGAGGGCGGUCCCGUCGGGUCGUAGCGGUUAUCUCCCCGACAAUAGGGAUUUGGGUUGGUGAGUUUGUGAGGGCGAAACCUACGGGCUAGCCAUGAGAUUGGGUAAUGAAAAGUUAAUCUUGCAUUCAUCAUGAGCAUUCUAUCGAGCAUAGUUUUACUUAUCGUUCAGGCAUAUUAGCUGCAUUUGUUAGUCGGAUAUUAUCUAUUCUUUCUUCUAUUAUGCCUGAUUAGACCUAGUGGGAUAGUCGGCGUGGUUGGUUGCCGAACCCACUGGGAACUUUGUUGUAGUUCUCACCCCACUAUUUCCACAGAGCCGGGACCGAGCGAGCCGGCAGAUGAUCGCGGUAAGGGCAUCGCGCCCUAGAUAGAGACCGCCCGAGAUGGUUAUCAUUUUGUAGUCGCAUACCCUUUACUAUCAUCUUUUGUAUUUGAUGAUUUUAGUAUCAUGAACUUGCUUUAAUGAAUGAUGUAAAGGAUAUUUAUUUUAAAUGUCAAAAGUUAUAUUUUGGGAGAAAUGAGAUGUAGAAAAGAAAUGAUGCAAGAAU
rnacentral:lncRNA from 1 species